UCACAUUGGACUCGUCACGAACUAUGAGUUUACCUCCUGGUCUUACUAUUCUAUCCACUUCGGCCAUUACUGGAACAAGGUUGCACCUUUCAAGACGAGAAAACAAAACAGACAAUGUUUCUAAGAUUGCUGAUGACAGUUACUAAAUGGGUGGAUAUGAUGAAUUAAGCUUUUACCUUUUUCUUAACUUGGAGAAAAGAUGAUCUGCAUGCAAGAGAUCGUAGCUUCUAGGUGAAAUCUCGAGGAGCUGGUUUCCCGUAGAUCCCCAUUUGAGAGCUGUUUAGCCAGUAAGGAGGUGUUUGAAGCCUACGGGGCCAGUUCACUGGCCACUUGCUUCCUCUCUCGACCGCAUUGGUUGGCACUUUGUGCAUACAUGCUUGCAGGGGCACAUACCUGAAAUUUGCAUUGAAGUUUCUGGUAGAUUGCAGCACCAACACCAUUGAGCUUAUCCUUGUUGAUUGUCACAAGUUCCCAGCACAAUGAUUUUGUCAACGCGGACAUUUCUACAUAACUCUGAAAUGUUAGCUCCAAUGAGACAAACAAGAAGGAGAACGUUAAUUCAGA